rnacentral:rRNA from 1 species
UGGGGAAUCUUGCACAAUGGGCGCAAGCCUGAUGCAGCAACGCCGCGUGCGGGAAGACGGCCCUAGGGUUGUAAACCGCUUUCAGGAGGGAAGAAAAUGACGGUACCUCCAGAAGAAGGUGCGGCCAACUACGUGCCAGCAGCCGCGUGACACGUAGGCACCAAGCGUUAUCCGGAUUUAUUGGCGUAAAGAGCUCGUAGGCGGUUCGGUAAGUCGGGUGUGAAAACUCUGGGCUCAACCCAGAGAGGCCACUCGAUACUGCUGUGACUAGAGUGCGGUAGGGGAGCGGGGAAUUCCUGGUGUAGCGGUGAAAUGCGCAGAUAUCAGGAGGAACACCAGUGGCGAAGGCGCCGCUCUGGGCCGUAACUGACGCUGAGGAGCGAAAGCAUGGGUAGCAAA